rnacentral:snRNA from 1 species
GGACAAGGGGAAUCCGACUG